rnacentral:lncRNA from 1 species
CACAAGUCUGAGUGCUUGAUUGUUCUCGCACUCUGAUGAGUCCAAAUAGCAUAGUGAAAGAAGUGACUCUUAUAUUUUGUUUUGUAUUUUGCAACUACUUCUGAUCUCAAUUUAUGUAUAUCUUGAAACUCAUAUAUAUUUGUAAGGGAUUUGUAAUGAUUUUAUUCUGCUGCAUAAAUUUUAUCAUGCACUUGUUAUUUUGAAUAUGUAUCUGACACCCGUUUG